AUGGUUUUGAGUGAAGUUUUGGCCAAUCCUUCUAGAAAUUUAUCCCUUCUUGCAACUUGUAUUUGUUUCACCAAAUUUUUAGCAUGUUCCUAGCCUCUUUUUUUCUUCAAAUUCGUCCAUCCAUCUUGCUCAUAUCAUAAGUAAUCCAUUCCAAGCUCAAAACUGCUCUAAAAUGCACCAAAAUGCACUUUCUUGCUACCUUAACCCUUUGGACCUACAAACACACGAAAAUGGCUUAAAGUACUAAAAUAACUAAGAACUAAUAACGUAAAUGCAAGAAAACUAGUUAACUAAGUCGCAUAAAUAUGCGUCUAUCACGUUCUGAACAAAAUCUUCGGUGAUCGACCUAAGAAGGCUCAUGCCCCCAACCCCAAGGUAACAGUUUAUUUCUACCUUUUUCCUUCAAUUUUGAACUACUGAUCGGCUUUGCUGAUUUGCUUUUACUUUUCUAGGCAGUUGGCCAUUGAAAAAGGUGGAAGUGGUCACUGCGGCUGCGG
rnacentral:lncRNA from 1 species